AGGGCGCAUGGUGGAUGCCUUGGCAACAGGAGCCGAAGAAGGACGUGGGAAUCUGCGAUAAGCCUGGUGGAGUCGAUAACCGGACGUUGAGACCAGGAUUUCCGAAUGGGGAAACCCCGCACGACGUGUCGUGUGACCACCGGUUGAACACAUAGGCCGGUUGGGGGGAACGUGGGGAAGUGAAACAUCUCAGUACCCACAGGAAGAGAAAACAAAAGUGAUUCCGUGAGUAGUGGCGAGCGAAAGCGGAUGGGGCUAAACCGUAUGUGUGUGAUACCCGGCAGGGGUUGCAUGUGCGGUGUUGUGGGCCUGCUCUUGGCGUGUCUGCCGGCACGUCGCGGUGAGGUGCGGGCGUAUAGACGAACGAUCUUGGAUGGUCGACCGUAGAGGGUGACAGUCCCGUAGUUGUAAUGCGUUCCGCCGCUGUUGAGUGGUUGCCCGAGUAGGACGGGGCUCGAGGAAUCCCGUGUGAAUCUGCCAGGACCACCUGGUAAGCCUGAAUACUACCUGUUGACCGAUAGUGAAUCAGUACCGUGAGGGAAUGGUGAAAAGUACCCCGGGAGGGGAGUGAAAUAGUACCUGAAACCAUGUGCCUACAAACCGUUGGAGCCUGCGUGUUCAGGUGACAGCGUGCCUUUUGAAGAAUGAGCCUGCGAGUUAGUGAUACGUGGCGAGGUUAACCCGUGUGGGGUAGCCGUAGCGAAAGCGAGUCUGAAUAGGGCGUUGAGUCGCGUGUCCUAGACCCGAAGCGGAGUGAUCUACCCAUGGCCAGGUUGAAGCGCGUGUAAGAGCGCGUGGAGGACCGAACCCACUUCAGUUGAAAAUGGAGGGGAUGAGCUGUGGGUAGGGGUGAAAGGCCAAUCAAACUCCGUGAUAGCUGGUUCUCCCCGAAAUGCAUUUAGGUGCAGCGUCACGUGUUUCUUCCCGGAGGUAGAGCUACUGGAUGGACGAUGGGCCCUACAAGGUUACUGACUUCAGCCAAACUCCGAAUGCCGGGUAAGUGAGAGCGUGGCAGUGAGACUGUGGGGGAUAAGCUUCAUAGUCGAGAGGGAAACAGCCCAGACCACCGGUUAAGGCCCCUAAGCGUGUGCUAAGUGGGAAAGGAUGUGGAGUUGCUGAGACAACCAGGAGGUUGGCUUAGAAGCAGCCACCCUUGAAAGAGUGCGUAAUAGCUCACUGGUCAAGUGAUUCCGCGCCGACAAUGUAGCGGGGCUCAAGUACACCGCCGAAGCCGUGGCGUUCAGUUUUUCUGGAUGGGUAGGGGAGCGUCGUGCACGAGGUGAAGCCAGCGGGUAACUUCUGGUGGAUUGUGCACGAGUGAGAAUGCAGGCAUGAGUAGCGAAAGACGGGUGAGAAACCCGUCCGCCGGAUGACUAAGGGUUCCAGGGUCAAGCUAAUCUUCCCUGGGUGAGUCGGGACCUAAGGCGAGGCCGACAGGCGUAGUCGAUGGACAACGGGUUGAUAUUCCCGUACCGGUGAAGGACCGUCCAUGCUGAUUCGGUGAUACUAACCGCCCGAAGCAUCCUCGACCUUGUUCUUUGAGCAGGGCGUGUGGUGUGGAGCGCGGGACCUGAACCGAGGAGGCAAGCGCAUUAACAGGUGUGACGCAGGAAGGUAGCCGGGCCAGGCAAUGGAAUCGACCUGGUCUAAGGGUGUAGGGCUGCCGGUAGGUAAAUCCGCCGGUUGUGUGCCUGAGACCUGAUGGGCGCCCACCAUGUGGGUGAUCCGGUGAUCCUAUGCUGCCUAGAAAAGCAUCGGCGUGAGGUUCUAGCCGCCCGUACCCGAAACCGACACAGGUAGUCAGGUAGAGAAUACUAAGGCGAUCGAGAGAAUCAUGGUUAAGGAACUCGGCAAAAUGCCCCCGUAACUUCGGGAGAAGGGGGGCCCUGACCUUGAGCACCACGUGCUGGUGUGAGGGGGUAGGGGCCGCAGAGACCAGGGGGAAGCGACUGUUUAUCAAAAACACAGGUCCGUGCGAAGUCGUAAGACGAUGUAUACGGACUGACUCCUGCCCGGUGCUGGAAGGUUAAGAGGACCCGUUAGCUUCGGCGAAGCGGAGAAUUUAAGCCCCAGUAAACGGCGGUGGUAACUAUAACCAUCCUAAGGUAGCGAAAUUCCUUGUCGGGUAAGUUCCGACCUGCACGAAUGGAGUAACGACUUCCCCGCUGUCUCAACUGUGAACUCGGCGAAAUUGCAUUGCGAGUAAAGAUGCUCGUUACGCGCAGAAGGACGGAAAGACCCCGUGACCUUUACUAUAGUUUGGUAUUGGUGUUCGGUGUUGCUUGUGUAGGAUAGGUGGGAGACUGUGAAGCCGGCACGC
rnacentral:rRNA from 1 species